GGUGAAACACACUGUAUAUGCCCGGACGGCACAAGAUGUUGCAAAUGUGUUGCAUCAAUGUCACCUCAACGUUGAAGUGUUGCAGCGAUGUUUCAUGCCGAAAUGCGUCGUUGUAGCUAUAUACGUGUUUCAAUGUUCAUGCUAUGUCUCAAAGAUGGCGUAAAGCUAACAUUGCGAUGGUGUUACUGAAGCAAUGUUGAAUAUGUUACACUCAGGUAACGUGGCGUUUGCAUUGAUGCAAUGGUUUGCAAGCAAUGUCAAUGCUAUGUUGCAAUUGCAUUGCUUCCAAAACGCUUAAUCAGCAACGUAAAUUCAAUUUGCGCAAUAUCUUUAUUUCAAUGUUUUUGCCGUAUUUCAAAAGAUGGGUACAGCUAACAGUGUGAUUCUCUUGCGAGAACAAUGUUGCACAUAGUACAUUGAGGAAACGUCGCAGUUACAUUGUGUAAUAGAAAUGUUACCCCUAGGCAACGUCUGACACAUUGCAGCAAGAUCGAAACAAACAUAUUGCUGUGAUGUUGCACGUUUUGCAUGCAACAUUGCCGAGGCAUUCGCUCCGGGUGCUCCAGUAAGACAAUGUUUGCACGAUCUUGGUCUAUCUGUAAUUCCCACCAAUAAACAAUGAAUGAUAUCUGUGGAACUUCCCGUGAUGUUCACCAGUCACUUAUCAGUUUGUUUUUGACUACGUGUUCAAAUGUUGCGGCAACGUUUAUGCACAACUGGAAUGAUACCACAAUGCCUUUAGUUCAAUGUUGGCCUCUAGUCCCGAGUGGCUCGAGACUAACAUAUCCAUUUUUUCUUUUAUAAAUCAAUCAAUCAAUCAAUGUUGGUGCAGCAGUUUGAGAUUAUGCAUUUUAGAAACAUCAGGAUUAUGUUGCUCAGGCAUUGGUUCACGUGCUGCAGUGGGGGAACAUUACAGUUAGCGUGACCAUUAGGAAGAUGAUUAAUUGAGACUGUGAGAAACAUAUUCUGGGACAACACUGCGGACACACUAUGGGAGAUGACUGUGAACAAAAGGAUCGAGACGACGAUAACAUAAUCUCAAAGAAAAUUAAUCUGACCGAGAAAUUAAUUACAAUCCAUUCUCACGCAUAUGUGAAUGCGCGCUGACUCUCGAUAUGGUGUUCUUCCAUAGCGUCAGUGCGAACACAGCCCUUGAGCCCUCGCGUGGCAUAGUGGUUAGAAUGAUAGCCUACCGUGUAAAGAGUGGGAGGUAACAGGGGUUCGAAUCCUGACUGCGCUGUCUGCGGUUUUCCCAGGGCUUCCCGGUAGGCUUUCCACACGAAUGUCGGCACCGUUCCCCUGAAGUCUGCCCAGUAGCAGGACGAUUACUGUAUAGUAUGUAAGCAUACUGUGCUCACUUGCACAUAUAUCACCAAGACUAUAGUGCUACUUCGGCGUUGCUUUUGUAACGUUGCUACACUGUAAAAUAACCGGUCAUUGACAAUGUUGCGUCAACACUGCAGUAUCACAUUUUUUUGCAAUGUUGUUUCUGUAAUAUUGUUGCAAAAUAACGAAGGCAGUCUUUAGCAAUGACACAUCAGCAUUGCAAUGCCACAUUUUUUCAAUGUUGUUUCAUUAACAUCGUUGCAGUAUAACGAGAGCGGUCAUUAGCGACAUAACAUCAAUAUUGGUUCACUGCAACAAUUUGUGCUGACUGGGUGGGUAUGUCUUCUCCCGAAAUCUGUUUUUUUUAUUAAAUAAAGAUAUCGAAUUCUGCUUCAAAACACUUUUCAGUAGAAGAGUUUUUUCCUUGGCUUUUUAAACUCUUUUUGAAGAAAGGAUUCGAAAGAUUCGAGAUUCGUAAGAUUCGUGCAUUCGCAGAACCUUCCUUGGAUUCGGAUUCGGAUUCCAGAAAUUCUGGAUUCGUCUCAUCUCUAGUUUAACAGUUUGCUUAGGAAACAUGUGUGAGUUUAAGUACAUCGUAGGCGACGAGAGUCUUCAUGCAUCGUGACUCUGAGGCCUUGUGCUCCUGCCCAAGCCAAUUAGGGACGUAUUUAGGCUUAUCCUAGAUGUCAUCAGGGCGUGUGCUUGACGGCUGCGUAUUAUCGGUGCAAGAGAUAACUAUAUCUAGGCGUCCAAACCCGUAAAGUCGCUUCUCAGGUGAAUUCACCUCCACAAUUUGCGAAGGCGCUGUUUAUUACCUCAGUAUAUGUUUUCAAGCACAUGCAAAGCUCUCACACGUGGCGAUUAAUGUGUUCAACAUGUUUUUAUGAAUGUGAGCGUCGAAUAUGUACUCGUUAUUUAACGAGCAAUAUAAAUAUAUACGUAUUGCAUACAGGAGCAGUAAAUACGAGCAAAUGCAUACGGCUUUUUGAGUGUAUACGAAUAAUAUUUGAAAAUAUUUGUAUAGGUGCGGUUAACAGUAACGAGCCUUACCCGAAAGUUUCAAAUUAAUUAAAUAGUAAUAAUAAUAAUGUAUUGCACAUAAUGACGUUGUUAGUUAUACGUUCAGUGGCACUGGAUAACUAAAAAACACAUUAAAUUGCGAUGCUGAUAUUCCAAAUCAUUUUAAACUGUAAAAGUCCCGUUAUCCCUAAUUGUGUAUUACUUCGUGAAUAUUUGAUUUUUUUUCUUUUACAUCACACGCUUUUGAGGAUAUGUAUGAGUAAACGCAAGUACAGUCAAACUCCUUUAGAACGAAGCUCAGGGGACCGCGAAAAAAUUUCGUAGUAAAGGUCACUUCGUUAAAGGGGAUGUCCGCCAUCUUGUUUGUUUACAUUUCCGCUUUGCUUCCGUGCACGACAGGCUCGGAGCCACCCCUGCGUUCCUUUGAAUUUCUCUUGGACACCACACAUGGCUGCAAACUCCCUUGCUUUCGCGCACAACAUGGGGUCCGAUAUGGGUAUGUCCUGAGAUCUCACCUCUAACAGCCAUCAGUAAACGCACUUGUCCACUUCUUCGAAGUUAGCCGCACGUAUCCUUUUUCGCGCUGAGGAUCCUUCGUUGUUCUCGUGCUGCUUCUGUAUCUUCUCUCGGUCCUUCAAAAAAGUCGAAAGUGUAGAAGCACUAAUCCCAAAUUCUUUGGCAACGUCCAAUUUCUUCUGCCCGCUAUCAACGGCUCUCAGCACCGCGAUGUUCUCCUCGACUGUAAACUGCUUCCCCUUCGAGGAUGCUCUUGCGGAGGUAGCAUCGCCGCCCUUCGCUGACGUGUCUGCCAUAGCACAACUGGCCGCCACAACGGACUCUUCGUGAACGCUGGUGUCCUGGUGUGCACUGGACGCUGUGAACUCAAGUCAGAAAGGAGGUCGAUCGGGCUUUGAACUCCAAGGCGACCAGGAAUUGCACAGGGAGGCUUUGUGACAGAUCAUCUGAUGAUGUCACCCCUUUCCCCGGACAAAGCUUGGAAACGUAGAUCAUAAAGGAGCUGGACGCUCUGAACUCAGGUCAGAAAGGAGGUCGAUCGGGCUUCGCACUCCAAGGUGACCGGUAAUUGCCCGGGAGGCUUUGUGACGGAUUAUCUGAUGAUGUCACCCCUUUCUCAUGACAAAACUUGGAAACGUAGAUCAUAAAGGAGGGGGUCCGCACCGGGAGAAAAACUUGGUAUGUAUGUAUAAUCCUCGUAAAACCCGCCGAACUCCUCUGAGGAGCUUCGUUGUAUGUGUUGGAAAUUCCGCUGAAGGGGCCGCACUUUUGUUCGUUAUUAAGGUAUUUUCGUUGUAAAGAAAUUCGUACUAAAUGUUUGAAAAAUACAUUAGUCCUAUGGGGCUUUGGCAGGACCGCGAAAAAAAUUCGUUCUACUAGUACUUUCGUUAAAAAGGCGUUCGCUCUAAAGGAGUUUGACUGUAUAGGUUAACUUCAGAGACCUUCUUAAGCAAACCGAAGCAACUACCGAUUCACUAACCACAAGCACUUCUCUGAGACUGGAAAGGAUACGGCGUCUCACGUCACGUGUACGAGUUCAGCCAUUAGUCAGCCAAUAGUGGCAAAGGCUGGCGGGACUCUGAAGCUUGUUUUUCUAGUGCUCUAGUGCUCCAGAGUGAUAACCCAUUUGUACAGUCUGUAGAAUUCUUAAAGGAAUAGUUCGCCCCCUUAAGGGGAAAAAAUAGCAGAAGAAACGCUUACUAGGUGUGAUCAAUAGACAAUGAACAGCACCCCCUGAAUCCCUUUCGUUCGAAAUAGAUGUAUUUUACGGGUUUUCAGUAUUUUCCUAGGCAUAUUACAGGAGGCUGGAUCGGCUUGCGGGACGUUUCGUGACGUUCUUAGGGUUAGCGAUAGGAAGCCGCAUCUGGAUGCCAGGGACACAGGAACAUCCUCUUGUCGUCACACAGUUCUUAAACAGAGGUCGCGCGCACGUCUUUCUCCGCGGACAAGCCUACUUGCGUGCAUCCCGUUGCUUUGAGAUCCUUACUGCUCGGGCCGGAAACUAGUGCACGGGUCUGAAAAAUUCGAAGUACACUACCAUGUGCAGCAGAAAUCAACUUGGAGGCUAUCCAAGGUGUUAUGGUGCUGGGAAGUAUCCGUUUAAGUGAUAUCGGUACCAGUGACAUGGGAAAACCUGGGAACAUCUGCAUCUGGUUGUCAGGCGGUGUCACUUCCCGACAGUUUUGCUGUCCGUGCUGCUUACUGUCAGAGUGAUUAGCGAACCAUGGGACGCCUUACAUAAUUGAUUGUGGAUUGCGCACCGAUCGGGCUAUCCCAGCAGACAUGCUGCUCAUCUUGUCUACGCGGAGAAGUAUCCUAUAGCUAUUACCAGAACCGUCGUGAGGCGAGUUUGCGCCCUGGGCAGGGGAAACGUCAAGCGCCCCCCCCCCCUCCCGCGCUCUCUUCACUGCCGUCAGAAUCUCUAUACAAAAAAUAAAAAAUAAAAAUGCUCGUUCGCAGUGCCUAGGUAGUGAAUUCACAUUCCCGUCAUUCCCGCUGCAUACUGUACAAACAACAUGCCAGGGCCUGCCAUUCCGUGCCCCCUGUGGUGAGCGCGCUCGGUGCAGGUGCCCCGCCCCACCCCCCCUAGCUACGGUCUGCUAGUAGUCUCUUCUAAUUCCUUUCAGCAGACGGGCAGGCGCUUCGUUCACUAGUUGUAGCAGUUGUGCAUGCUGAUGGUGUCGGGCGUGCACGCCAGGAGUGUGGGUUUGAGUCCGUAACACCAUGACAUAUAAAGGGACAGUCCUGUUUGUUCAAGUUUUGUUCUUCUUAAGAGAAGCCGUGGUGCUGCGUGGAAAGAAUGAAUAUAUACGCAUACUCAAACAGUUGCGUAUACGACACGUAGGGCGUGUUUGCGUGGGACACGUACAAUUAGCUCUUCUUCGACAUAAGGCCGAAAGCAAUACUCCUAUUAUUUUUUACUUUUUUACUGGGUUCUAAAUAAUUCAGAAAAAUAUUUCACACAAUGUGGCUGUGAUCUAUCCCGCUAUUUCUGUAGACAAGGUGACGAGCGAAAUGGCAUAUUUCGUGGACGAGUGUUCCAAUGAACCUCUGCGUCCACAACUUGUUUGUUGUGGUUCUUGUCUUUUGUGGCCUUUGGUGUCUUUGAGGAUCUGUUCUUCAUCACAAGCGACGUUUACAUGGAUGCUACGAAAGCACUUCCGCUUCUCGUAUCGAAUCACAGUAGCUUCAGUCGCUUUUGCGUCAGAAAAACCCAGUCAACAGCAGCAGCAUCGAUUUCCCCCAGAGCACACCAACCAUUCUGAUGGGGAAGAUUUGUGGGAGGCGGCGCAAAACGGGGAGCACUAUACCCUAUUUAAAAAAAUGAAUGAAAAAACAGACCACGAGGCGAGUUUCUGGCGGUUCAUCAGAGCCUGUAAUUUGCGACCGAUCAGAUCAUCAGGCCUGAUGGCUUGAUGGGACCACGAGAUCAUGUGAGUGGUCUCGUGUUUCCUAAAGACAGGCUGGUUUCUAACAAACUGAUAUAACAUAUAUCUAUUUAAAGCACAUAUCAAUAUGUACAGCUAGGCUUUGGGUAGCUCGAAACAACAACAACUUUAUUAGAGACACUUGACUAGCUUGAGUAGCUCGAAGAAGCUGGAACAAACAUCAUCUUUUGAAAUAAUUGCUGUCCAACUAGCACAUUUCGCUCUUUUCCUGAGCUUCUCGGCAUCACGUAUCCUUCUCUAUUGGAAAUUCCGAUAUCAUUUUUUCCUUUAUAACGUCAUAUCGUAUUCUUGGUCCCGGUAUGAGGUACAUACAUAUCUGCCAUAUCUGCAUAACUGCUGUAUCGGCAUACAUGCCAUAUCGGAAUACCAGCCAUAUUGGUUUAGGUGUGGAAUAUGGGACACCUGUAACCACGGAACCACAGCACACUAGCUAUCGGGUAUGCGUGUCAAACACAUUCACAGUUUUGACACAUCUGUGCUUGUCAAAAUGAGCAGACAUAGCAAAAACAUUAUUUUACUUGCUUUUAUUUUUUCCUGUUUAUGUGGGACAAAAGGCUUCUGACAUAGAAUGUCAUCUGCUUGUAGCGCUCCUCCUUUUCGUGGGAUCCUGUUCGCUUUAAAUACUCCCAGAACGCAUCUGAAAUAAAUGAUAUAAUCUAUCAAUUCUUAUAUCCUGUACACAAGAUAAAGUAGAGGAAUCAAGGUGACAAGCCCAGAUCUUCUGUAACUGUAUAGAUAAUAAUUUGGGGUUUUACUGUAAUAGGAGAAAGAACAGACAAUAACAACUCUGUCAUACAUAAUAACAUAACUUAACAAUAAUCUUCAAAUGCAGUCAUAAUAGUAAUAAUACGUUUAUAGCCUUCUAGUAGCAAAUGGGCAAGAAAACCCGAAAUCAAAUCAGUAAUAAUACAUAAUAUAAGAAUAACAACUGCUUGUGCAGUUGCGUCUCAUAUUUCUAGUUUUCUCACUCAAUCGUUGGUGGGCUAUUCAUUCAUAACUGUGUCAGUUAGAUAGUAAAUAAAACGUACAAGAUGUUGAAGCUCUAUUUGAUAGGACAUGAGGAGUAGUACGGCCCUGUUGACCAACAUGACAAAAGCAGAGGCAGUCACAUCUCUUCCUUGUGGAGCAACUGCCUUCGCUCUUGAGGCACGAAGUAGUUAACGCUUUGUAUCAAAAUGACAUGAUGUACAGCAUAGUGUAAAAGAACAUAACAGAGGCUGCCUCUGUGGAACUUACUUCGUAGCGCAUCCAUCUUCUUAGGUGUGAGACGUUUCUUGGCAACUGCCCCACUCUUCGCUUAUCGGCGACACGCCUCCCCCGUCACACUGCGUUCGGAAAGUUCCUCCUCAGUCCACAGGAGCCUCGCACCCUCCCGGCAGAAGAGCGAAUCCUUGGCAGCUCCCAGUGCCCACUCGAGCCUUUCCUUGUUGACCUUUAUAUCGCCUUCAAGGGCAACCUAUCACAGAGAACAAAGCACAGAGUUAAACCUGGAGCCACAGAUAAGGUACAUAUACAAAACAAAUAUCCAGCUUGCUCUCUGUAAACAAACAAUAGUGAACUGCAAAUCCACCUCAUUCUCAAUGAACAGUGAUACAACUGUUUUCUUUUGCAAGGAGUAACAGUGCUACGCAUGGCAGAAACUCUAUAAAGGUCGACACGGCAUUCUGACAUUUUUUCAAGAAAAAAAAUUGCGUUAUGAUCAUACCUGCCAAUAUGACAAAGUCAAAACUCGGGAGAUCACCCGCAGAGUGACGCGGGGGUGGGGACGCGCAUUAAGUUCGUGCAUUCGGAAUAGCAUUGCCACAGUCUGUAUUGUGAUUCCUCUAAGUCGUAUGUAGCCAGUUUCAGGUUAAGCUGCGUUGCACUAUCGUUGCUUUCGUCAACCACAAUUGACGCGUCGUCUCAGGCUCUGCAACAUUGCAUUUUGCGCGGCCGGAGCCGUUUCACCGAUGAUACCACUGGUCUUCGACGGUUGGCACCUGUAGCAUUUCGCUUCGUGACAUUUUGAGAACAUCUUUGGAACAGCGGUCACACGUGGUCGGUUACGCUCUGCGGCUGGUUGUGCUCAAACUUCAACUCAGAAAACCUGUGCAAAGGCACUCGGCAUGUAUGAGGAACACGUGCAGGUAUUUCGUCUGUUUGGUGAGCGCACUGUAAGACAUUAUCAGACUUCGUAACCAGACGGCCUAUCAGCCCAACAUGGGAAAUAACAUUCAUGCCAUAAUCACGCGCAUCCUGUAGGUUGCAGUGAUAUCUGGUGUGUUGCACGAGCUAUCCCCGCGAGUGCCACACCCCUUACGCUUGUAUCUCCGAGCAUAUCGCUUUGAUAGUUCCGAUAGCGUGGGAAGAUCGUACUUUGACGAUAUCUUCCUAGUAAAUUUUGCUUCUACUCUAUUAAGUGCCGGCUUUUAGCUGGUUGGGAUGAGCAAACCAUGCUUUUGAGGUGUUGUUCCUCCAAGCACCCAGACGGCCUAUCAGACUGACAUGAAAAUCACGGAUGAUUUCAUCAUCAGGUUGCUUUCUUAGCAUAUCUCAACUAAAGCCCCGCUUUGCCAAACUGGCGUUAGAACCGCAUUACACUGGCCAGCGGAAACAGUCUCUGAGAACUGGCUUUCAGCUGGCGUGGACGAGCAAAACCGUAUUUCUAAUGUGUUGUCGUUCCCAGAGUAUUUGAUCCCUUUGUAUUCCCCCAGAGGGCGAUCGCAGCAGUUAGGGACCCAGAAGGGCCCUCACAGCCUCAACUAUGCCAGGAUCCGACCGGACCUGCUUCCAGUUGCCACAGUAUGCGUCUCCGCACGCAGCGCACGUAGCAGUCACUAUUUCGGUCUCCAGAACCUGGUGCUCGCGUUGUAGUGUUUUUGGCGGUCUUCCACUUGUAAUGUGGGGAGUACCUUUCCAGGCGCUCGCAGUGUGGAGUUACCCUCUUACUGCUUUACCUUCUUAUUGUUUUAAUUCCAGCAUGCAAAGACAGAGACAGCGCUCCCAUGUUUGCGUCGCACUUCCCGUCGAGGAUCUCUGCCCCGCCCUACAUUUGAUCAAGCACGAUCUCGGUCCCCAGGUCCGAGAAAGAAGCCCGUGGCGACGUGGACCGUGGUCCACCUUGGCUACCCCUUAUCGUGGGCUUCUCAUAAGUGGUCAUCCCAGCCCCGCCCCCUCCGGAAUGCCGACCCCACUACCACUCCGUUGCCGUUCCGCGGUUUGACCCUGCGAGAGAGACACCCCGCCGACCCUCUUCAACCCCUCUCUGCAGACGAACAACGACUCCUGUGUCCGGUCUGCCAAGUUCCGGAACUGCACAGAGCCACCCAUCGUCGAGGCGAGCUCCGUCGAUCCCGUAUCGAACAAGCACGACCGGAGGCCGUGGAUGUCGUCGCCGCCCUGGCCACCUUACGUCGGCAUCGCCCAGAGAUACUCCGGGAAACUGAGAGAGAGCUGGCGGCCCCCAACCCAGCCGAGGACGAUAUCCUCAUCGAGGGACCACAAUGAAGACCUGUAAAUCUUUGCCCGUAUUGUACAGUUUUGGGAGAGGGGAAGUGUGGGAUUUGUUUUGUGCUGUCGUCGACAGGUGUCGCGAUAGACAGAUGGCGCGUGUCGCUUGCGCAUAGAUUAGGGGGCGGAUACCCAAGGAACUUAUUAUUUAAGCUGUGUUGGCGAACCUGAGAGGGUGGCUCGCUCUUCUUGGGGGAAAGCCUUGGCUUGUGCCGUCUGAAGGUAUGAAAUAAACCCUUUGUUAAUUGUUCGAACUUGUGUCUGCGUUCCUUGCGCGAGUCGGAUGAACGGGCGUGGUCCCGGUGGUGGGUUAACCGGAAGGUUUCCCACAAUGCAUAGUGCACAUGUGAUACGUCUUCCUUGUUAUGUAUAUACCUUCCAAUGAUAGCUAAUUUAAUCUUGCUGUAGCUGCAUAUGCAUAAUGCACAUGUGAUACGUCUUCCUUGUUAUGUAUAUACCUUCCAAUGAUAACUAAUUUAAUCUUGCUGUAACUGUAUAUGCAUAGUACAUAUGUGAUGCGUCUUCCUUGUUCUGUAUAUACCUUCCAAUGAUAACUAAUUUUCAUUUUCAAAGAACGUUCCCUUGUGUUCUUUCGUUGCAUUCUUCAUCCCACAGAGAUGCUAUGAAUACACGACAUUUACACAUAUCUGCAUAUACAGACGUAAUUCAAUCAUGUUGUACGAACCUGUAAAACAAAACGUCUUGUGGCUCUUUGGUAUUAUUUAAUUCCGGUAUGGUUGCACGUGAAAUAUAACUCUAUCCUAGUGCACAUCUAUCACAAUCCCGACAAAAGGAAUUGUCCUCGCUCGUCUUCCCCAUGCUUGUCGCGCACAAAAUGGCUGAUAAUCUGCAGAAACGAGGGCGACCGAGCUCUCAUGUAACAGCGGCAAUACAAACGUGGAUUAGUCACCUCAAUGACUGCGAAUUGUUUGUGGGAAGCACGCACUGCAUCCAUCGAUGUGCACUUCGCAGUAAUAACUUUCAUCCUCGACGAUGUGAAACAACACCAUUGUGCCCCUGGUGCCUUGUGCCAUGUUUAUGUCACACAAAAACCGUACUCCUGCGACCACUGACCAAAACAUCCAAGCCGAACCGCCACGCCAAGCUACCAUGUUGUCAAACACGGAGUCUCCUGCACGGCGGCUUCUCCACAUAAUGAAAGAAAAGAAAAGCAUCUCGAUUUGCACCAUCACGAAUUGUGGGCGAAAAACUUUCACGAAAGUCGUUCCUUGAUAUACGACAGUCAUGUUUGUUAAUCAAAAUAUUUUUUUCUCGUGCACUGGGCACACCAGUACAUCUGAAAUAGCGCAUUAAGGAAGCGUCAAUUCAGAGGAGCAAGUACCUGACGGAACGCGAGCGCUGCGGCGCGGUCACAAAAGACUCGAGGAAUUGGGACCACGCUUUCUCAACGGCGGCGCGGCAGAGAUCGUUCUCCUUACUUCUCCUCCGUGGACCACAUCCACAAUCGCCAUAACAAGCAUGCAUAAAAACAGCGGCUGCUUCAUGGUCGUCGCGCCAUCUGUGGACGUUGUUGCCUACUCGAAUGCUGGACGUGGUGGCGGAGGCGCGGAGGCGCGGAGGCGCCGGGGAGGGGGCGUACUGUCGUACUGUUGAGGGAAUCAGGAGUCAGUGGAACAAGUUCGUAAAGAGGUCCGUAAGGUGAGGAAGAGACCCAUGGAGGCGCGGGGGCGCGGGUGUUUCGUUCGUACCGAGAGAGUUCGAAGGAAUCGAGAGUCGGUGAACUGACGAACUGAGCAGCUGAAUGCUGAAUCGCCGGGAGGGAGAACGAGCUGGAGGCCAGGAGUGAGAAAGGGGUAUCGAAGCUGCAGUGGGCGGUGUAGUAGUGUGUAGUUGCUGCGCUGUUCGGUUCAGAGAGGCUCGACAACGCCGUUUGUUGUUUGCAGUCGUGGCUCUCGCUCUGCUGCUGUCAUAUCGCCGUUUGACGGAGGGCACCUUGUCGUGCCGCCGUGGCUAGUUGACCUCAAAGGCUCACACUAAUGGGUUUUUGGAUGACUUCCAAUACAGGACCACUGUGUGUGUUUCUUUUUUUAGUGUGUGUGUGUGUGUGGCGCAGCUUCCUGUGCUUGUUCAUCCCGUCCUCUCCUUGUUGAAUACAGGUGGACGGGACUUCGUUCACUCCAGAGGGUGUGCUGUCUAAUGCUCGUCAGCGUGUACAGCUGCGGUUUGCCCGUGUCUUGUCGUGUUGAUCAGCGCAAUAUGCAUCACUCUGCUCUGCGUGUUGAUUGAUUUGUAAAAGGAAAUAAAUGGAGAUGUUAGUCUCGAGCCACUCGGGACUGGCUACUCCAGGACGCGUUAUUCGGAAAAUAAAGUUUUUAUUUGAUACCGGAAUGGAAAAGAAACGUGCCUAGAACUUCGAAAACAUAAAAACGACCAGUCUACGUCGCGUUCAAACACAAAGCACAAGCUUUUUACAUUGUUGCACGAGUGUUCUUCGGCAAAAUAGGUAAAACCACUUCCGCACAUAAAGGUGAUACGCGUAUGAUCCUACUGCAUGUUUACAUUAAGAAACAGCACUUUGGACACCUUGCUGUGUGCUAUCCGGUUCCGUCUUUCUGUAACAAUUUGUCCGGCCUUAGAAAAGAUACUCUCACAUGGCACAGACGUUGCCACAACGCACAAUUUGCUUUUCGUCAUCUUAAAAAGGCGUGGGCAGACGUGCUGCCUUACCCUCCACCAAGUGAGGGGAUUCUGUUUCCUCUCAAGUGGUGGCUCCUGCAGAUACUUGUCGAACUCGAGUAUACCAGCCGCUGUAGGGUUCGCGCAGGUCAGUACGAGUGACAUGGAUGUGUCGAAUUCGUACCAUAGCGGAUCUUCUGGAUCUUGCGCCCGGGACUGGUCCGCAGGUGCAUCGCUGUAGUCCUGGGGGACUUCCACUGCUGUUGCCUGCGCCGACAGCGAGCGGUAGGCAAUCUCGAAUGCGGUCUCUCGCUGGAAUCCGCGUCUCUUAAAGCGGGGAUCCAUAGCGGUUGCUUCUGCUAGACGCUUUGUUACCUCUACAUCUCCAAAUCGCUUUGCCAGUUGCUCCGAAAGCACUUUCAGCACUUUUUUUUUUUUUGCAGUCUUCCGGCAGGCUGGGGUCUUUCUUGGCGUUAUCCAGGUGGGUAAUGAGUGCUCUGGCAAGCAGUAUUAUUUUAGACACCGUCAUAGUUUUUUUCACUGCUAAUCUCGGUAGUCACCGUCAAGAAUGGCUUCAGGAUGUCGCAUAUUUUCUCUAUGAGUGUCCAUUCCGUUUGAGACAGCUGUUCAACACCCGCGUCUAAGAUGGCCAGAGUGGAUGGCACUGCAAACGCACUAUCCUUGAAAACCUCGUACGUCGAAUUCCAACGGGUGGGAACAUCUUGUUUCAACUUAAGCAACGUCAUUCCCAUUUGUUGCUGCAUUGCUUGUAGCCUUGCUAAUCCAUGCGAGCUGUGCUUAAAAAAGCGAACUAUAGCUAUGCUAACUAGAACUAUGCUGGGUUUCCCGUCGGUGUCCUCGGGCAGGAGGUAUAGGGGACGUGGAGGAGCGGACUGUUCUGUAGUGGACAGUGCCGACAAAGAUAAAGAUGACAGUCCCGAAGGAACCGAAGGUCGGGCACCGGAUUCAUCCGGAGAAGGGUGUGAGGGUUCCACUGGGUCGUCAACAACCUCAUCGUUACAUUGUUGUUGCGAUGCCCCGAGGACCGGGUUCGAGCGCAGGAGAGAUGCGCCAGGGUGGUUGACUCGGACAUGCCGCCACAACUUUGCCGUUGCUCCACCACGGUAGGAAAGAGCAUUUCAACAAAAGCUGCACUUUGCAGUUUCACCUUCGGAACGGAAAAGAGGGUACAAAUUGCACUUCGCUUUCGUGACGGACCACGUCCUUGGUGUGCCUGUGCCAUGUUGCAAAAGUGAGGGAGCGCGGACAAUCCGUUUUGGUUAACGGAUUCCAGGCAGCAGUGAGAGGGAUGCUUGAUCCAGGAAGACGUGAAAUGUCUUACAACGAAGUCAACACAGCAUCAAAGUGACAUGGGGAUGAAAGACAACAGUCAAGUCACAGGUCGGACCUUUAACUCUUUGAACGCCGGCGAGAGCCAGGAGACGCUUCUUGAUCUCUCCACUCGCCACUCUGGCGCCGUGCACGCGGCCCGUGGGAGGACAGCGCAUACAGGCGUACAGUUCACAGGAUUCGUUUGCACUUUCCAAGUUCGAGAGUCGAGAUUGUCGGAUAGUCCGACUCAUCGCCGUUUCCGGGUACCACAGAGAACUGUCGUUCGAACCGUCGCCUGCUCGUCCAACCAGCGAUGCCUUUUCUUUUUACCGGGACAUCCCCACCGUCUGCAGCGGCGUGGUUUUGUUCUGGUCUGUGUUUGCUCGCCUGGUGAUGUGGUGAUGGUGUAAUGCUGCUCUUUGGGAUGAGUGAUCUCUGUACGUUUCAGUGAAGUGCAUUUCGUCGUCCGAUGUCUGGCUAGAAACAUCAGGUUAGCAUCGGAUCGUGUGCCUUGACUGUCGGUCGACAACACCUGCCUUGGUGUUUUGAGGUCACUUGCUGCGAUCGAUUGGAUACAUGUAAUCGACGGUGAUGCUGGGUUGCCGCGACAGUAUUCCACUGUUUUCGACGCACCUCGCAGAUGAUGCCCUCGACAGAGCGAGGUCGUACAAGCACACGAAUGCCAAAGCAUCGUGACGUCUGCAGAGAAUUGUCGUGGAUUUCGAGCCAUGUCGUUCGUGCACGUUUCGUACGGAAGAGAACAAACCUAUGUGUGCUUCCUGGGAAUAUCAGGUAUUGCAGUGAAACGAUUUGUCAGAAGGACAAGCAUUGCCGCCCCACACGUCAUCUCACGUUUCACAACGCAGGCUGCAUAAAUAGCGCAUGUACAACGUGUUUAAUCGGAAGUAUACUAAAUAAAACCAACAAUCAAGGCUGAAAGAGGUCCUGAGAUGAUCCACACGAGCAACAACCGCUUGCCUGUUUGGCCGCCGAUCACGGGAACCGCCAUGUUUUCAAUCCCUGUGGGUGUGAUGCUCUCCGCUUCAUGAUCAGUGUUCGUGUGGUUCGAGAGUGAGAGAACUGAUUAGCUGAAUGGCUGUGUCCGAGUUGGAUCACGUUGGACAGAGCGCAACGAGAUCGGAGAACUAGUGAAUGGGGCUGUAGCGGUGGCAUUCUUUGAGUUGUUUGUUGAGAAAUGUUUUUGGAUGCGGUAGGCUCCUGUGCUCGUGUGUAUGUGUCGUCUCUUCGUUGUUGUGCUCGCUGUGGCAUUGGUGUGCUGUGGCCGCUGUGGCUUUAUGAGUCGGCUCGCUGUUUACGACUCGCGCUCUGUCAUCGUUCAUGCGUUGAUGUGAUUUGGUAGCUGUGGGCUCCUUGUGCACGGGAUGGAAGGCUGUCUCAGGCGGUAGGUAUUCCUUCUUUUACCGUUUUAUGUGGUCGUAUCAUGUCAAGCAUUGAGGGACGCGGCAUAGCCUGUCCGACGACGAAAGCUUUCACUGACACAGCUGUCGCCGGUGAGCCUACAUUCCAGCAGAUAGCAGCCACGAUAUGCUCAUGUGAUUUGCCGAUAAGUGUAAUUUGCUGAUGUUUGCGCGUUGUUUUGCCGUGCUCCUUUUCUCGCAUGUUUGUCAUAGCGGAUAUUCCCUGUACGCGCAUGUUCAGACUUGUUUAGCGGUGACCAAUGAGAUGUUUGCGCGUUGUUUGACCGCGCUUGUGUUAAGCCUUUUCUCGCAUGUUUGCCGUGCACCGUACGCGCAUGUUUAGACUUGUUCAGCAGUGACCCAGCCUUUUCUCCGUGUUGACGCACGUUUAGCGGUUCCCGCCUUGCGUUAGCUGCGUAGUGUUGUGACGCUGUGGUUAGGCCGAAGCGGUCGCCUUUUCCCCGAUAUGAAGCGUUUUCUCCGUGUUGUUUAGCAGUAGCGGUUAGACCUUUUCUCUCGCAUGCCUAGACUUGUUGAGAAGUGUUGCCAUUUUUUACCUUCCGCUAGUAUCUUGUUGUUCUCUGUCUUUCUCGCACAGAGCUAUGAUGGUGACGCCAUCUGUUGUGAUGCCUUGAAACUCAGCGGCCACCUGUCGUUGAUCUCUGCAACUGCCGGGUGCAAACUACCAACAUGGCGGGCGCUGGUCACUCGGACGUUCCAGAGCGGUUUCUUCGCAAUGGCAUCGUUGAUUUUCGAAUAAAUUUUUUCUCUCCACUCUAUAUCUAUCUAUUUUUCCUGUUUUUGAUGGAUACUCGUAGUCCACAACGCUCAGCUAGUCUGGACACGAGCUAGAUGCACCCCAAUUAGUGUAAUGACACCCUGGAGGGUACUGCUUAAUGUACGGUCCCAAUUAGCUCUAAUUGCUAAUUAAAUCUUGUUCAGGCCAGUUGAGCGUUGUGAACUACGGGAGUCCAGUCAUUAUUACUUUCCUACAGUAAUAAGGCUCGUAAACAAUUCAAAACUAUUUAUUUUUCAACAUGAUCUGACGGUGAAGAACUUCGUCAUAGCAGUCUCCUUCGCAUUCGCAUCUGGGAGCAAUACAGCAUCUGGAAUCACUGGAAUUCCAUGUGUUCUGCCGAUGGCAAAGGUGAGAUUGUACGCCAGCAGACGAGAAGCCCAUCGGAAAAUCUGUACAGGCCGUCUAGCGGAACCGUGGUGCGAUAGUAGUGGCACCAAGGCUUGAUGAUCUGUCGUCAAGGUAAAAUGCCUUCCCCAGAGGUAUAUGUACCAUCUCUCGCAGCUCCAGACACAUGCUAGCGCUUCCCGUUCCCCAGCGGAGUACUUCUCCUCUGCUCGUGAGAGCGACCUAGAGACGAAGCCGACAGUCCUUAUUCCAUGAGGACUCGGCUGUUGCAAGACGGCGCCGAGGCCUUUCUCUGACGCAUCUGUGGUAACGAUGGCGUCUAGUUUAAGGUCGAACGGUUGCAAGGAACCGGCAGUUCCGAGCUGGUGCUUAAGUUGUUGAAAUGCAUUCUCUGCUUCGUCAUUCCAGUCGAAUGCAUGCCCUCGUCGAUGUAGCUUGCGAAGAGGCUCAACCACACGCGCAAACCGUGGUACGAAUCGAGAAUAGUACGCGGCUAGACCCAAAAAGGAUCGCACAGUCUUCGCAUCUUGCGGAACGGGGGGUUGAGAAUAAAGUCAAUCUUCGACUGCAGUGGCGCGUUUCCUUCGGCUAUAAUCCGAUGUCCAAGGAAAGUAAUCUCCUGCGCGUCGAAGCAGCACUUCCUAAUUCAACGUUAGUCCCUCAUCAGAAACUCUCUUUACUACUACUCGUAAGUUGUCGACAACGAUGUCGUGAAGAUACACAAGGACCCCUUUGCAUCCAGUGAGGAGGUUGGCCAUCAGCUUCUGGAAUACUAAUCGUGCAGAAGCCAACCCGAAACACACUCGAUUGAACCGGAAGAGUCCUUCGUGCGUAAUGAAGGUUGUGAGGCUUCAACUUUCAGGGCUCAACUGCACUUCAUGGUAAACUGAUGUAUUGAGAUCCAACUUUGAAAAGUAACGAGCUCCUGCAAGAUAAUUCAGCAACUCCUCGACGCAAGGAAGUUGAUCGGCAUCGACUACAAUAGCCUGAUUCGGGGCCCGCAGGUCUACGCAUAACCGAAUAGUUCCAUUUGGGUUUUGGACGACAACUAUAGGUGAAAUCCACAUCGAAGCAUCGACACGUUCAAUGACUCCCUCCGUUUCCAAAUUUCGAAGUUCUUCAGAAACUCGUUCUUCUUCUUGUCUCGUACAGUCAACGGCAGUCGCCCUAACUUUGCUGUAACCGGCGUCAUUUUGAGUUUCAGGUACACUUUGUGCCCUACGUUCUUUGCCAGACCAAGGUCUCCACUGAACAAGUGACCAAACUCGCUUCUCAGGUCAAUAGAAAGUAUGUCUGCAUCCUUCGAUGCAGUAGCACAGCGCAAAGACUUCCCAACGAUUGAAAUAUCCAACUUGCGGACUGCAUCCCGUCCUAGUAAGGUCGUCCCUUUUAGCACAAUGUAGAACUGGAUCGAAUCCAUCUUUGCUUGGAAUCGGACGUGGGUAAGGAAACAUACAAUGACUUGGAUCCUUUUGUUGCUGUAGUCCACAAGAGAAAUCGUCGGUUUUGUCAGUGCGAACUAGUCCUUGAAUCGCUCAUCGUAGAAUGCCUGCGCCAUCAAUGAUGUUGCCGAGCCGGUAUCAAGUAGCGCGUGCACCUGCUCCCUUUCAAUUAUGACUUCAGCGAAGAUCGGCUCUUUCCGUUGGUCAGUAAAGUGUACUUGCCGAACAGUAAGCACAUGUGCCUCAUUCUCAACAACGUGAACGCCUCUACUGCCGCUACGACUUACUUUCUUGAAAUGACCAGUCUUUCCACAUUUCUGGCACUUCUGAUUCCGGGGCCUCCAUGACUUGUCAUUUGCUAAGUGACCUGACGAAAACAGUAGGUGAGUUCUUCUUGUCCGCUGGCGAAGAACCGGCGUAUGAGCCAUGCUCACUUGCAGGCUUGUGUUCUGUCUUCCGAGAAAUUCGCUGCACCUCUAAGGGUUCCGGUGGUGGUAAUUCCGGCGGUUGUAGAAAUUCCUUCGCGGCUUUGGUGCUUGCUUCCAUAGCUGCCGCCAAGGUUACAGAACUGUCAAAAGUCAUUGUCUGGCCUUCACUCAGCAGGCGUUCUCGCAGCUGGGAGUUCUUGUGCCUCCCAGAAGCUGAUGCUUGACAGCUUCAUCUUCAAAUUCUCCGAAGUUGCAGAGAGCGGCUAAAUAGCGAAGUUCCCCACGAAAGCUUGCGUAUACUCUCCUUCUUGCUGCAUUCUCCCCAGGAAUCGAUGACGGAGUAGACACAUUCACUGAUGUGCCGAAUCGCGUAUCCAACAGACUCAGCGCCUGAUCGAGAAUCGUUGAUGUCUGAGAAACACAGGCGACCGUUUGAUUUUGCGAUGAAGAUGACUCUAGCCCAUGAAAUAUUCUCUGUCCCUCGGCACCCAAGCAGUGUAGGAGUACCGCCUUCUUUCUUGCCACAGAGUAUGAAUCUUCUGCCACAGCGUCCAAGAAUGUCAAGAACAGCUUCUUCCAUUGUUCCCAUGGAAUACUCGGAACACCAGAAAAUGGCAGAAAGGGUGCCGGAGGUAACAGUCCACCGAGGUUCAUACUGACGGUAAUCCUUCGGUGCUUGUAACUUUCGCACGGACGUUCUAGAAAUGUUCCAUCGUCGCCAUAAUGUUCUAUUCUUCGCCCUGUAAGCAGACAUGCCCGACCCUCGUCAUUCCAAAAACGUUCUCAACUUUAUUUUCCUCGGUUGCCAACCUCCGGCGUUUUGCUGCCGCUGUUAGAGGCCUGCGAAGAACGAAAUGAAACUGAGACACUCAGACGAAUGCAGAGGAGGAAGAGGAGGAGUGGCGUCGGCUGGAAAGGGGAAGAAGUUUUAGAAGAAGGGAAAAUAAGUUUUAGUCAGUGUAACCAUUAACACAAUACUUGACUAGAACUAGCAAACACAUGAAGUUGCUAUGUGGUGAGCAGAAUUCCCAGUAAUUUUGACCUUGUGAAACAAAAUUAUAGCUUUCUCAUGUUGUCUUAUCAUGCAGAAUGAAAGAAAGGGGGCCAACUAGCUUUUAAUUGUUCGGACUCAUUGUGAUGCUUGUUUAUCACCGAUCAUCCAAACUUCUGAUGGAUGGGGCAUAACGAUGUACAGGGGCUCUGCAACGUAUUGUGAAGGUACACUUUGUCCUUGAUGCAACUCUCUUCUGUGUCUCUGCUUCUAAGAUGUUUCAAUAUUUUGGUUGUAAAGUAGAUGACUUUUCGACAAUACCAAAUAGUCCAAAUACGCUGUAGAAUACUGAUGCAUAUUUCCUGAAAUAAGGCUGUGAAUGAAUUACCUUGUUUGACUCGUUUUAUUUACUGUUUUGUUUGUCAGGAUGCAAA